GCCCGGGUGCUCCCCGGGGAGCGGAGGCGGGAGAGCGGGGGCCGCAGGGCCGGGGCCCCAGCCUGCCCUUCCGGCAGCGCCGCGGGACUGCCCAAGGACCAAGUGCGUGCCGGGCCUCGCCCGACCUUGAUGCUGGCGUUGGUCCGGGUUGACUGCCCACUCCGAUGCCUUGCAAAGGGAUUUAUGGAAUAAUCGGGAAUCUUUGCCUACCGUGAGCUUUUCCCUUUAGGAAGGUUCUUCUCAUUGGUGGUGUGACAGAGGGCACUGAAGCUGUAUUCCUGCAGUGAUCUUAGCAUAAAGACCCUCCAUCUAACAGGGAAAGGGCGGGUGAGACAACACUAGGCUUAUGCCUCAUCCUCAGCAGGUGACCAAAGGAGGAAGAUAAAACAGAACUUCCACAUGCUCUCUGGUGAGCUGGAACCCCUGCUACUGGUUGCUCUGAGAAGCCAUGGGUUUUCUUCCUUGGACAAUUUCAGAGCCCAUCAUUAUGGUUUACGGAAAGGAAGUGGUGCUGAAAGAGACCCCUGCUUCUCCUGCCAGCUCUUCUCCCUUGAGAAAGCCCCUCCACUUCUCCUGAGCUUGGUUUCAGAAGUGAUGGUUCAUCCUCUCCCGUUGGGAGUCCUUCCGGGAUGGGCUCCAUGUAUUCCUCCAGCGGCAGGGGGAUGGUUGAGAUGACCUUUUCAGGUCACUCAGGAAAUCUUCCAGUUUCUCAGGAUGAUCUAAGCAUCUCCCUUUCCUUUAGAAGCUGUCAGAGCUAACUCCGCGUGGGCGUGGGCUCCUGGCAGCUACCUCACCUCCCCUCCAAUAUUUAAAAGAUCUAUGCUGGUUCUUAGGGCUUCCUAAUCACAGGCCCUUUUAUUCUGGGCUCUGCCUGAAAGGCCACAUCCAUUUUUUUCCUGAAAGCUAGCUAGGUCCUCUGGGCUAAACACGACCGCCCCACAGCUCUAGAAAUGGCUGAUUUUCGUUAUGCCCUUUCCAACCAGAUUAUUUCUUAAAUUGCUCUCCCCCGGCUGGGUGUUCUGGGACACAAACGCUAGUGUGUGGGAUCCCCGGCUUUCCUUUCUGCCUGAGCAGCUGGGGGAGAGCCUCAGUUUCUCCUGGCCUGCGGGCAGCAGCCGACCCAGCCUAGGGAAUGAGCCUCGUGUACUCUCGGGGGCCCAGGACCGCGGGGCCGCGCCGAGGACCCUCUGAAAGGCAGACCACCACGAGGCAGCGUGAGGACCACACUGCCGCGCCCCGGAGCCCGCCGCCGCCUGUCCCCGCGUCUGAGGUCCACAGGAAGAGCGGCGGCAACGCGCGCCCCGGAGGAGGCUUUGUGAACCCAGGCUCGGCGCGCCCCCCGCGCGCGCCCCUCACAGGCAGCCGGGGCCAGCCUGCCGCCGGGGCCCCUCUGGGAAGGGCUCGGAGGCGACGCGGGGAGGGGGCCAGGGGAGGAGGGAGCGUUCCUGCAAAUCACAUGAUUUUCCCGCUUAUAUAAAUCACAGCUUGUUUUUCUCAACCGGGUGCAGACUUAAA